rnacentral:sRNA from 1 species
AUUAUUACAUUUUCAUAUAUAUUUUUUUAUACAUAAUUCUAUAUUGAGAAUUCACAACGAAACCCAAAAACAAAACAAAAAGUAUUUUGAUAUAUUCGCAAACUGGUCACAUUGUGAGGCUAAGUGGUGCUGCAUACAUACAAACAAGAGCGACUGUACGUGUUUUGAGUUGGUAUGCACAAGUCCAUGGGUGCAAAGAGGUGUGAACAGCCGCAACGGUGAAAAUAACAGAAUGGGUUGUGAAGGAGAACUACCAGAGGUGGAAGUUGGCAACGCAUACGAACUUAACCAGUGAAAACGAAAGAGCCAGUUGUCCCCCUAUGAAGGCGCAUUAGAGCCAAGUAGGAAAGUGCAUUGAUAGAAAGUACCGGCAUGGUACAGGCCACCGGACGGAUCGAAGAUUAAGGAUACCAACGAUUCUAAUUAGAAGGUCGAUUGCGAAUGGACUGAGUAUAGGAUGCCUCAUGCCUCAUAAAUGCACAUUUUACAGUUGUGUACCUCUAGCUCAGUGUCGUUUUUACUUUUCUCGGAAUUGAGGAAGUUUGGUCGUUGUUGGCUAAAUCUUAGCCAUUUAUCCACAGAUUUUAUAAACGACACCUUAAACGAUGCCUUAUUAAUACAAUUAUACAAAUAAAAAACAAAUUAAAAAAGUUUUUUCGGUGUUUUUCAUAGUUUUUAAAGUCUUUUUUGAAUGUAAAAAAUUAUACAUUUUUCAUUUGAAAGCUAUAUUUUCCAGAUGGUAAGCUGAAGCUCACAAUUUUUCGGAUCCAAUUAAUAGCUGCGUUUAUCAGCUUUUCAGAAUGGCAAACCAAAAGUAGGAUACUUAAGUUAUGUGGCAAUAGAAGCACUAACUCUAUAAAAAAUAUUUCGAAAUAGAAAUGCUGUUGCAUCAUGGUGUUAUUUAUAUGAAGAAUCAGAAUAGUUUCGGGGAGUAGAUCAGACAAGAACCACUUGUGUUUUUUUGAUGACCAAAGAUCAACUAGAGGCAUGAAAAUAAAUCAGUACUACGACUCAGCUCAUCCAGGUGUCUCGCCCAACCAGAUCUGAAUGAAUACCAAAACGCUGCAGCUGAAGCAGCGUCAGGGGGUAUCCCGUAUGCAAAUAUAAGAUUGCGGUGCCCACGUAGUGCCCGGCAACAGUUGCCCCACUAAGGGUAUUGCUGUGUGCUGCAUUGGAACUACUAAUCCGGCAUUUGCAUAAAUCAAUACACUCGUCUUGGCUAGAACCGGGUGGACAGAAUAGACCGGCUGACCAUAGAAACAAACGCCGUUCAGAGUGCAGUGGCAGCAACAACAAACGCUAAUCAUCGUCUUGGCAAAUAUAUUAUUGUGUCUCGGACAUUCUGCUUUGCUUUUGUGUUGAGCACAGCUUUCGAGUGGGUUCUGAAAAACGACCGGGUGCCGGACGGCGGACUGUAUAACCCGAAUUACGGGUAAUUACGUCGUCGCUGUCGCUUGUUCGACAAACGCAAAUUGAGCAGAGCAGACGAGACCAGACGAAUGGGGAGAUCCGAAUAUAAAGAUACAGAUACCAGAUGCAAGGAUGAUAUCUCAUUAUUACACACCUCGUACUGACUCAGCGACAUUCCACGCGGAUUGUGAUCUUCGUGACUGCCCCCACAACAAUAUGACCUGCCCCACCCCUUGCUUGGCGAGGGGGCAUCAAAAGACGCCCACCUGCAAAUUAUGAGGGACUUUGGGAUCUCGCUUCGAUGUGGGAACACGAUUCAGAUUCGUUGUCGCUGUCGUUCGACUAAAUUGAAAUUGAAAUUGAAAUUAAAACUCAAAUUAAAUGAUUGCCAGAUUCUUAGCUUAAUAAAUUCCUAUUUAAAUUGUGCCUUCAACUUUUUGAGAUAAUGCCAAAUUUAUACAACACGUUUGAAGAACAA